rnacentral:lncRNA from 1 species
ACUUAGUGUAUGUGGAUGGUUGAGAAGUUCGAACAUUUAUUUUGUAGCAGUUAAAUUUUUAAGAUAAGGCGAUAAGAUCAAGGAACAGACGACAUCACCAAGGACAUAUUCAUAAUCAUUCUACAGCUUACCUAGCUCGUAUGAUUAACAAAAAGAUAACAAAUUGUAUCAUUUCACUCCAACAUGAACCGGAAUCACCUCUGUCCCAUAGGGAAAAAUAGACAUUUAAAUCCCUAACUAUUUGAAAUCAGCAAGUUUAAUACCAAAGUAUUGCUUGCUCGAUUUUAUUUCCCAACUAAUAGUUUUGACUCAGUAAAUUAGUGACUAAAAAAGUUAGCUGUUAAAUUAUAACGACUCUCGUUAGUUUUAUAUCAAUAUCAUCGCCACUGAACAUGAAAAAUUCGAAAUCCCCAAACUCAAACUUUAACUUUGAGUGGAGACGAUUUCCGGUGACGGAAAAGAUAAUUUUUGGUGAUCUCCGUUUCCAUGAUUAGGCCGGAUCUGCUCUCUUAUCAUCGGAAAUCGAAUUUCUCAUCGCCGGAAAUCGUCU